GAACGCUGGCGGCGUGCCUAAUACCUGCAAGUCGAGCGAACAGACGAGGAGCUUGCUCCUCUGACGUUAGCGGCGGACGGGUGAGUAACACGUGGAUAACCUACCUAUAAGACUGGGAUAACUUCGGGAAACCGGAGCUAAUACCGGAUAAUAUAUUGAACCGCAUGGUUCAAUAGUGAAAAACGGUUUUGCUGUCACUUAUAGAUGGAUCCGCGCCGCAUUAGCUAGUUGGUAAGGUAACGGCUUACCAAGGCAACGAUGCGUAGCCGACCUGAGAGGGUGAUCGGCCACACUGGAACUGAGACACGGUCCAGACUCCUACGGGAGGCAGCAGUAGGGAAUCUUCCGCAAUGGGCGAAAGCCUGACGGAGCAACGCCGCGUGAGUGAUGAAGGUCUUCGGAUCGUAAAACUCUGUUAUUAGGGAAGAACAAAUGUGUAAGUAACUAUGCACGUCUUGACGGUACCUAAUCAGAAAGCCACGGCUAACUACGUG
rnacentral:rRNA from 1 species